AUGAUAAAGAAAGCAUUGCGUUAUGCGCAAGGCACGAAGGACUACAUGCUAACAUACAGGAGAUCUGAUUCCCUAGAGAUAAAAGGGUAUUCAGACGCAGAUUUUGCGGGGGACAAAGAUGAUAGAAAAUCCACGUCAGGAUACGAUUCACCCUCGCUGGGGGAGCUAUUUCGUGGAAAAGCUCCAAACAGUCGACAGUUGCAUCAUCCACGAUGUAUGCAGAAUUCAUAG
rnacentral:rRNA from 1 species